AGGGUUUGAUCCUGGCUCAGAACGAACGCUGGCGGCAGGCCUAACACAUGCAAGUCGAGCGCGCCUUCGGGCGAGCGGCGGACGGGUUAGUAACGCGUGGGAACGUGCCCAGAUCUACGGAAUAGCCACUGGAAACGGUGAGUAAUACCGUAUACGCCCUUCGGGGGAAAGAUUUAUCGGAUUUGGAUCGGCCCGCGUUAGAUUAGGUAGUUGGUGGGGUAACGGCCUACCAAGCCUACGAUCUAUAGCUGGUUUUAGAGGAUGAUCAGCAACACUGGGACUGAGACACGGCCCAGACUCCUACGGGAGGCAGCAGUGGGGAAUCUUGGACAAUGGGGGCAACCCUGAUCCAGCCAUGCCGCGUGAGUGAAGAAGGCCCUAGGGUCGUAAAACUCUUUCGCCUGUGAUGAUAAUGACAGUAGCAGGUAAAGAAACCCCGGCUAACUCCGUGCCAGCAGCCGCGGUAAUAC
rnacentral:rRNA from 1 species